rnacentral:rRNA from 1 species
UGGGGAAUAUUGCACAAUGGGCGCAAGCCUGAUGCAGCCAUGCCGCGUGUAUGAAGAAGGCCUUCGGGUUGUAAAGUACUUUCAGUCGGGAGGAAGGUGGUAAGGUUAAUAACCUUAUCAAUUGACGUUACCGACAGAAGAAGCACCGGCUAACUCCGUGCCAGCAGCCGCGGUAAUACGGAGGGUGCAAGCGUUAAUCGGAAUUACUGGGCGUAAAGCGCACGCAGGCGGUUGAUUGAGUCAGAUGUGAAAUCCCCGGGCUUAACCCGGGAAUUGCAUCUGAUACUGGUCAGCUAGAGUCUUGUAGAGGGGGGUAGAAUUCCAUGUGUAGCGGUGAAAUGCGUAGAGAUGUGGAGGAAUACCGGUGGCGAAGGCGGCCCCCUGGACGAAGACUGACGCUCAGGUGCGAAGGCGUGGGGAGCAAACAGG